rnacentral:lncRNA from 1 species
GGAAGAGGCAAAGGAAGGCAUCACAAUGCUCUUUUAUUAGCUGGGACUUUGACUUCAAACCUCAAUGUAGAAUUGCACCAUUUAGGCUGGUCUCACUGGACGGCUGAUUUGCUUUCCAGAGAUGAAAGCCUAAAUCAGUUAAUCUAUUUUCCUUUAUCUCAUGCAAGUCUUGGUUCUUACAUUGAUGGCAAAGAAAAGAAGAUACAAAGGAAAAGGAGUGAGAGAGGUGAAAAAUUAGAGAAUGUUUGAAUCCUCAGGUCUGUUCAGGCAAUGUGGAAAGAGAAAAGGUGAUCAAAGGGAAACACCAUGUUCAAGAUGAUGUUUAAGAUAGCUGAGAUGCUUCCAUUUCUUCUUCUACCCUUGCUUCUGGAUCUGAAGAAUUGUGUGACCUAAUUUGAACCUAAUCCUGUCUACGGAAUCCCUUGGCUAAUAAUUAGGGAUGGUUUGAAUUCAAUUGGGCUAUCGAGUCAACUAAAUGCAGAAGUUAGAACCCAUUAUUUUGAAAGAUACUGCCAUUUAUAACUUCUAGCCACAGAAUUCUACAACAGGUUUUGUUCAUUAGCGUAAUUAUCCAAGGUGAUUCAAAGUCAUUUCCACUAUAGUCAUUCCUGAGCCAUCUUGAGAGGGCGAUCACUGCGGCAGAGGAAUCCAAAGAAACUGACCCUUACCUUGAAGUGAAAACCUGAGGAUGCGAAUCCACGUCUCUGGGGUCGAAAAGGUCACAAACAGAAAACCUGCUGCACUUCUGAGUCUUCACAGAUUUCAGUGAUUUGGUCCAAAUCCAGAAACCAUCUUGAGACAAUAAAAAGGCUGCUGAAUGGGAACCAAGCAGGACGGCUCAACUCUCACCGAGAUGGCAUUAUUUGGAGCAUUUAGCAGAAGUGGGAAGGCACUCCAGGAUUGAUUACUAGCAGAGAAAUGGAGAGGUUUUACAAGAAUUUACUGAUGCUUACAAGCAAAUGCACAGCUUGGUGUAACAUUUUGCCAGAGGCAUGAGAAUACAGUAACAUAAAUGUCAGGUGUUGGAAUAAAGUCACUGUUCACGCUCAAAGGUCAAAGUGCCAACCAGUUUACUCAUUCCCUGAAGGAAAUAGGCCGCACAAAGUACACGACUCUGAGUCGUUCCUUCAACCCUGUGGAAUAUUCGAGGAGGGAACAAAACAAAGCUAUGCACACACGGGGCACCCAGAGUAAUCCAGCAUCGUGGACGAUUCCUCUUGGCCACGGUCAAUGGAGCCAUGAAGCUUCUUGUAACUACUGGGGUUUGGAUGGGAUGAACCUCACGUGUCUCUUUGUGAGUAAACAGAGCAUGCACCUGCCUUAUUUUCUACUUCAGAGUCGGUAUCCUGAAGCGGAAAACGCUUCAAAUUUGGGUCAAAAGAUCUGCAUUCAAAUCUUGUAUAACCGGGUAACACAGAGCGCCAUCGAAGCUGUGAAUUUGGUUGACCUUCAUUCAGCCUGAAGAGAGUCGAUGGGGAAAGGCAGCUACACAUAAAUGGAGGCAACUGAGGCUUGUACUGCCCUGGGAGAGCAAGAGGGAUGGAAGCAAGGGGCCCAAUGCCUCCAACCCAGUUUGUGGAAUGCAGGAGGGUCCUGCCAUCGUAGAGUAGAAUGGGCGCUUAACUCUAUCGCAUGAAGCCGCAUUUCUGCUUGAUUUAUUUUGAACAUGCAGUUCCCGUUUUCCUCAGUUUCGGUGCAGUAAAAGUUCCACCUAACUCAGAACAGAUUUAGAUAUUCUGGAAAGAAUCACCAGAUUUAACAAAAGGGUCUCCUAAAAAUUCAAAGAGCUAUGGGGAAAAUUACUGAUUUAGACACUUUGAAGUAUAAUGCAUGUCCUGGGCCCAGUUCUAAUCUCAGUCCAUAAAAACCCAGCGCUGGCUUUGUGGCCACAAGACUGAGAAGUAAGAAUUUUGUUUAAAUGGAUAUUAGGUAAUUGAUACUGUUAUCACUUAACUUUCCAAUAGUCACACAAUAGGUCAUCCCUAGGAAAUAUUCUUUUUUUUGAGGAAGAUUAGCCCUGAGCUGCCAAUCCUCCUCUUCUUUUUGCUGAGGAAGACUGGCCCUAAGCUAACAUCUGUGCCCAUCUUCCUCUACUUUAUAUAUGGGAUGCCUGCCACAGCAUGGCUUGACAAGUGGUGCAUAGGUCCACACCCGGGAUCCGAACCGGCGAAUCCUGGCCCCUGAAGCGGAAUGUGGGAACUUAACUGCUUCGCCACUGAGCCGGCCCCCGUAGGAACUAUUCUUGUCCAAAGUUCUUUUCCAAUUACAUGGUCUCAUCUGCU